rnacentral:rRNA from 1 species
CCUACGGGUGGCAGCAGUGAGGAAUAUUGGUCAAUGGGCGCGAGCCUGAACCAGCCAAGUAGCGUGAAGGAUGACUGCCCUACGGGUUGUAAACUUCUUUUAUAAAGGAGUAAAGUGAGGCACGUGUGCCUUUUUGUAUGUACUUUAUGAAUAAGGAUCGGCUAACUCCGUGCCAGCAGCCGCGGUAAUACGGAGGAUCCGAGCGUUAUCCGGAUUUGUUGGGUUUAAAGGGAGGGUAGGGGGAUUGGUAAGUCAGUUGGGAAAGUUUGCGGCUCAACAGUAAAAUUGCAGUUGAAACUGGCUGUCUUGAGAUGUCGAGAGGUAUGCGGAAUGCGCAGUGUAGCGGUGAAAUGCUUAGAUAUUGCGCAGAACUCCGAUUGCGAAGGCAGCAUACCGGCGGCGAUCUGACGCUGAGGCACGAAAGCGUGGGUAUCGAACAGGAUUAGAUACCCCUGUAGUC